GAUGAACGCUGACAGAAUGCUUAACACAUGCAAGUCAACUUGAAUUUGGGUUUUUAACUUAGGUUUGGGUGGCGGACGGGUGAGUAACGCGUAAAGAACUUGCCUCACAGCUAGGGACAACAUUUGGAAACGAGUGCUAAUACCUAAUAUUAUGAUAAUAGGGCAUCCUAUAAUUAUGAAAGCUAUAAGCGCUGUGAGAGAGCUUUGCGUCCCAUUAGCUAGUUGGAGAGGUAACGGCUCACCAAGGCGAUGAUGGGUAGCCGGCCUGAGAGGGUGAUCGGCCACAAGGGGACUGAGACACGGCCCUUACUCCUACGGGAGGCAGCAGUGGGGAAUAUUGGACAAUGGACCGAGAGUCUGAUCCAGCAAUUCUGUGUGCACGAUGAAGUUUUUCGGAAUGUAAAGUGCUUUCAGUUGGGAAGAAACAAAUGACGGUACCAACAGAAGAAGUGACGGCUAAAUACGUG
rnacentral:rRNA from 1 species